UACGUAGGGGGCAAGCGUUGUCCGGAUUUACUGGGCGUAAAGAGCGCGCAGGCGGUCGUUCAAGUCGCGUGUGAAAGCCCCCGGCUCAACUGGGGAGGGUCACGCGAUACUGAUCGACUCGAAGGCAGGAGAGGGAAGUGGAAUUCCCGGUGUAGUGGUGAAAUGCGUUAGAUAUCGGGAGAACACCAGUGGCGAAGGCGACUUCCUGGCCUGUUCUUGACGCUGAGGCGCGAAAGCUAGGGGAGCAAACGGGG
rnacentral:rRNA from 1 species